rnacentral:ribozyme from 1 species
UGUCCAACUACUCCUAUCCCUACCUCCUCGUGGUACGAGCAUCCUUUGGGAAAAUCGGGUAAACAACCCCGGUAUGAACUUUGGUCGUAUGCUGAUAGGGAAGG